rnacentral:tRNA from 5 species
GGGGAAUUAGCUCAUCUGGCUAGAGCGUUAGACUGGCAGUCUAAAGGUGACGGGUUCGAUCCCCGUAUUCUCCACUA